rnacentral:rRNA from 1 species
AUUGAACGCUGGCGGCAUGCUUUACACAUGCAAGUCGAACGGCAGCGCGGGCUUCGGCCUGGCGGCGAGUGGCGAACGGGUGAGUAAUGCAUCGGAACGUGCCCAGUAGUGGGUGAUAGCCCGGCGAAAGCCGGAUUAAUACCGCAUACGACCUGAGGGUGAAAGCGGGGGACCGAAAGGCCUCGCGCUAUUGGAGCGGCCGAUGUCGGAUUAGCUAGUUGGUGGGGUAAAGGCUUACCAAGGCGACGAUCCGUAGCUGGUCUGAGAGGACGACCAGCCACACUGGGACUGAGACACGGCCCAGACUCCUACGGGAGGCAGCAGUGGGGAAUUUUGGACAAAGGGGGCAACCCUGAUCCAGCCAUGCCGCGUGCGGGAAGAAGGCCUUCGGGUUGUAAACCGCUUUUGUUCGGGAAGAAAUCCUCUGGGCUAAUACCCCGGGGGGAUGACGGUACCGGAAGAAUAAGCACCGGCUAACUACGUG